rnacentral:rRNA from 1 species
GAUGGCGACCGGCGCACGGGUGAGUAACACGUAUCCAACCUACCGUUUACUCUCGGAUAGCCUUCCGAAAGGAAGAUUAAUACGGGAUGGUAUUAGAAUAUCACAUGAUGCUUUAAUUAAAGAAUUUCGGUAAACGAUGGGGAUGCGUUCCAUUAGAUAGUAGGCGGGGUAACGGCCCACCUAGUCGACGAUGGAUAGGGGUUCUGAGAGGAAGGUCCCCCACAUUGGAACUGAGACACGGUCCAAACUCCUACGGGAGGCAGCAGUGAGGAAUAUUGGUCAAUGGACGAGAGUCUGAACCAGCCAAGUAGCGUGAAGGAUGAAGGUCCUAUGGAUUGUAAACUUCUUUUAUACAGGAAUAAAGUGAGCCACGUGUGGCUUUUUGUAUGUACUGUAUGAAUAAGCAUCGGCUAACUCCGUGCCAGCAGCCGCGGUAAUACGGAGGAUGCGAGCGUUAUCCGGAUUUAUUGGGUUUAAAGGGAGCGCAGACGGUUUGUUAAGUCAGUUGUGAAAGUUUGGGGCUCAACCUUAAAAUUGCAAUUGAUACUGGCAGACUUGAGUGCAGAUGAGGUAGGCGGAAUUCGUGGUGUAGCGGUGAAAUGCUUAGAUAUCACGAAGAACUCCGAUU